AAACAAAUUCUGAUGCCUUAUGUAUGCAUUUAUUUAUUAUGUUUUAAGAACCUACCAUUUGAAUGGGGCAGCAUGCAUGGGUCUGGAAAUACAUUCUAAAUAGUCCAGAGUGCUGGAAAAGUCACAAAAAUAUCAUUACAGUAGUUUACCCCAGUUGGGAUGUUUGCCUGUUCCUUGUAGUCCAUGGCAAUGGAAUGAGUUCAGAUUGGAGUUAUCUUUUACUCCCCAAAUGAAGACACUGGAUCAGAAUAGGCAUAGGUUAAGGAUAGGUCAAGGGCAUGAGAGAAAAUUAACAUAGGUUGCAAUUCCAUUAUUAUGUUCCACCGGCAGAAGUGUGUUAGUAGUAAUAGGGGCCACCUCUCGUCAAACUCAUUUUUGACAGGUGCCACGCCCCCUUGAAGCAGGAAGUCCUGCCCCUUGAAGCAGGAAGUGCCACCUCCUAAAAGAGGAACUCCCUCCUCCUAAAAACAGGAAAUGCAAUCCCGGGAGACCCUUCCCCCUGAGGUGAAGCCCUCCCACAGCCCACAGCCCACCCACCACCCACCCCUACCAUAAGCCGCCCAUGUGAUGGGUAUGUCUAUGGUGCAUGUUCCCUACUCCUACUGCAGGAGCUUACCACGUGGUGGGGCAAGCACAGACAUGUUUCAAUGAGGCAUUCAUGGUGAUGCGUAUGGGCUGAAAGGCCCCUUGCCUAGACUGACCCCUCUGCUUGAGGAAAUGGGGCAGCCAGGACCGUGUGCUAGGUCUUAGUGGUGAGCUCUGUGCUCUGUGACCAACAGCCAAUGGAUUUAGGCCCAUAAGGUCAUCAUGUGAUACUGGGAGGGCCCAUUAGGGCGGAGCUUUUAGGAAUAAAUACUCCAUGUGAGUUUUAGUGCAUCCCUUGACUGCUUUCAGAGGAAUGGAAAAUAUGGAAUUAUCAGAUGCCAGUGUUUCUUCCUCAGAGCUACCUGAUUCAACAGUUGAUGAAUCCCAAAGCAGGAAACGCUUCAUAAGUUCAAGUUCUGAUGAGGAUGAUGACUGUGAUUUAGCUAAAAGAAAAUGUGAGGAAGACCGGGUGGUUUCCGAAUCAGCUAACAGGCUUUUGGAAACACUUUCAUCAGAACCAGCAAUACCAUCCUCUGAGCAGGGGGUUACAGAAAAUUCAUCAGGGGCAGCUAAAGAAGAAGAAGUGAAGUCACCAUCUAUCGCUGCUAUUUGGAAGCUAUGCUGCGUAGCAUCAAGCCAGCUACAAGAGACCCCUGAAAUGAGUGCUAUUCAACGCCCAGGCCAUGUGAUUAUGUCAAGCAUUCUUGGAUUGGAUGUCAAGACUGAAACAGGGAAUGUAGAGCAGAAGACGGUCAUGUUGGAGACCGCCAAAGCAACCGUUUACGGGAUAUUAGAUCACUGUUUAAACGAAAUAUUAUUUGAGGCGUGUCCGGGUUGUCAGAUUUUUGCAGGGAAUCAGAUGAGUCAUGAAUGUGUGUUAUGGAACAACAAAUUCCUAAGCAAAAAAUUGAAGGAUAUUUGUGGAAAUUUAUGCUUCAUAAAUACCCUUCAUAUUUUUCUUUUGAUAGGUUACUGUCAAAACUCUCUGUAUAUGACCUCUGAAAUAUUGGACUACAUUAUGAAUUUGGUAACAUAUAUUGGCCAAACUGAUAAGGCUAUUAAAGUUCUAAAUGCUGGAUUGAAGAGUUGCAACCAGGAGAUUCUGCAGCAAGUCAAAACUGUGCUAAAAAACCGUCCAUACAAACAUUAUGUCAAAUUUUGGCCUAUUAUAACUAAUUUUAAGAAAGAGUAAAACUUGCAGCUAUUGAUGACUGUUUUUAAAAAUUCAAAAAAGUGUGUUACAUUGAAAUAAAAUAUAUGGUACUUUCAAUAAUGGGAUAAAAUAAAAUGGAUUUAAAAACAACAUAAUGCUCAAUGUGUUUUUUAUUUGAGGGCUUCCCUUUAGAAGUACAUUUAAUGAACACUCAUAAGAUUUCUAAUGUAUAUAUAUAUAUCUAACUAAAUAGAAAAGUGAAAAUGCGUGCCUGUUUAUUGAUCCUUCUGACAAAACAGGAAAUGCAUAUUUCAGUGGUCAUGCCAUGGACAGAUGCUGAUGACUUCUGAAAAACAGAGAUAAUAACCAUCUCUGUGCCUGGAUCUUUAAGUGUUACAUUCCUUUAGAAAUACGACCUUAUAACCCAACAUGCCCCAUUUACCAGAAGAUUAUUUUAAAAUGGGUAAAAUAAAAUGGAUUUAAAAACAACAUAAUGCUCAUUGUGUUUUUUAUUUGAGGGGCUUACCUUUAGAAGUACAUUUAAUGAACACUCAUAAGAUUUCUAAUGAUAUAUAUAUAUCUAACUAAAUAGAAAAGUGAAAAUAUGUGCCUGUUUAUUGAUCCUUCUGACAAUCAGGAUAUGCAUAUUUUCAGUGGCGUGGGGCCGGAUGCUUAAGACUUCUGAAAAACAGAGAUAAUAAGCAUCUCUGUGCCUGGAUCUUUAACUGAAUACACAAGGCGAAGUGUGGGCCCCUUUCUUUAACCAUGUAUUAAUAUAUAUAUAUUAAAAUGCAUCAUUGGAAACAUGGUUUAUUUUUACAACCAAAAAUAAAAUAAAUAAUAAAAUAAGGGUCCAACAGAACAACCCAAUGUCUAUAGGGAAGGGAGAGUGUUACAGUCCUUUAGAAAAUACAAGUCCUUAUAGCCCAUCAUGCCCCAUUUAGCAGAUUAUUUUAAAAUGGGGUAAAAUAAAAAUGGAUUUUAUCAUCAUUGGAAACAUGGUUUAUUUUUACAACCAAAAAUAAAAUAAAUAAUAAAAUAAGGGUCCAACAGAACAACCCAAUGUCUAUAGGGAAGGGAGAGUGUUACAGUCCUUUAGAAAAUACAAGUCCUUAUAGCCCAUCAUGCCCCAUUUAGCAGAUUAUUUUAAAAUGGGGUAAAAUAAAAAUGGAUUUUAAAAAAACAUAAUGCACAAUGUGCUUUUAUUUGAGGGUUUCCCUUUUGGAAAUACAUUUCAACUACUCUUUAAGGCGUAUAUUGCUAAUUUUCUUCAAUAUACCUUUCCCCAACCCCUUCCCUCAAAAUAAAAAAAAGUAUGAUACCCAUUUAUUUAAUAGAGAUUUAUAUAAAUGUUUCUGUACAACAUGUAUGCCUAACUGCAAAUAUGACCACACCUCAAAAGGAGGGUGUUUGUCUCAUCAGCCAAUGGGAAUUCUCAGUUUAAAAGCGGAUGGAAAGGCGGCCCCAACCAGAAAAGAGGACCCCCUUACGCUUUAAAAACCCUGGGACAUCC
rnacentral:lncRNA from 1 species